rnacentral:rRNA from 1 species
UACGGAGGGAGCUAGCGUUGUUCGGAAUUACUGGGCGUAAAGCGCACGUAGGCGGCUUUGUAAGUUAGAGGUGAAAGCCCGGGGCUCAACUCCGGAACUGCCUUUGAUACUGGCUAUCUUGAGUAUGGGAGAGGUGUGUGGAACUCCGAGUGUAGAGGUGAAAUUCGUAGAUAUUCGGAAGAACACCAGUGGCGAAGGCGACACACUGGCCCAUUACUGACGCUGAGGCUCGAAAGCGUGGGGAGCAAACAGG